rnacentral:rRNA from 1 species
UGGGGAAUAUUGCACAAUGGCGGGAACUCUGAUGCAGCGACGCCGCGUGAGUGAUGAAGGAAUUCGUUUCGUAAAACUCUGUUCUAUGGGAAGAAAAGGACUGUACCAUAGGAGAAAGCUCCGGCUAAAUACGUGCCAGCAGCCGCGGUAAUACGUAUGGAGCGAGCGUUGUCCGGAAUUAUUGGGCGUAAAGGGUGCGCAGGCGGCUUUACAAGUUGGAUGUGAAAUAUUGUUGCUCAACCACAAACGUGCAUCCAAAACUGGAAAGCUUGAGUUAAGGAGAGGUAAGUGGAAUUCCUGGUGUAGCGGUGGAAUGCGUAGAUAUCAGGAGGAAUACCGGUGGCGAAGGCGACUUACUGGACUUAAACUGACGCUCAGGCACGAAAGCGUGGGGAGCAAACAGG